UACAAUGUUUGUUACAGGUGGAUUUGGUGGAUGAGGAGGAGGAGGACGCUGUUUCGGUGGACGAGGCGGCGGUGGACGCGGAAGGGGAGAAUUCGGCGGAGGAAGGGGACGAGGAGGUUAUUGACUGUUUUCAAGAUUGCUGAGAGUUGCAGAGAGACCGAGGGUGGUACACUCCAAAGAACUCUCCAAAGAACUCUCCAAAGAACUCUCCAAAGAACUCUCC